rnacentral:lncRNA from 13 species
AUGCAAGAUGUCUGGAGACGGCCAGCUACCGGCAGGAGCGUGUGGGAGAGGAGCUGCCCUCCACCGGGCUCUGCCUGCGUAGGAGGGACCACACAGAUGCUUCGCCGUCCAGCUCUUCACAGCCUCAGGAUGCCUGGAGAGAGGAGCACAGAUUUUCCAUCCACCCCCAAACUAGGGACUCUUUCCUUGGGAGACCUCCAAGCCAGGCAGCCCCUAUGCCACAUAACUGGGGAAGGCCACCCAAAAGCAGGACAAGACGGAGCAGGCGCCAGCCUGCAAUGGCAAGGAGUUGAAGACAGACACCUGCGACCCUGUAGAAAAUGGGAUCCAAUUUGGGAGCAGCUUACCUUGCACAGGGCAAAAAAUCAAGACUGAACCUAGAGCAAAAAAAAGGUACCCAGAGACCCGAAUCAAGGAACAUCCCUUGUGUUCAUCAGCUCCAAUUCUCCAGGAAUAAAGCUUCCCAGGGAAGGUUUCAACACUUUGUGAUGGCAGAAGCUGCAGAGGAAUGGCUGCCUUUGUUUAAGUUUGGCACUUCCCUGGGCUUGGCAGGAGCCCAAGACUGCAGAGGUGAAGGCUCACAUCAACCCUUCCUCCCAAGCUUCCCAAGAGACCUGCAGCCAGGUCUCAGCAACAGAUGAGAUUUAAGAGUGGGAAGAAAAGCUUAUCUAUUGUCUUACAGUACCACUGUCUGCGGAGGGUCAGCCCUUGUCCUACACCAGUCCCAAAUGGCCAGCACUGACUGGGGACCCCACACUCCAGCAAGCAACAGGAAUCCUCAAAAGCAGGUCACGGCAAUAAAAGCCCCAGGAUGAAAACAGUCUUCUCACCAGCCCAUCAGACAUGCAGGGAGGGGGGGCUUUAAUAUCAGGGAGGAGGAAAGGGAGAGGGAGAGGGGAAGAGGUCUGUGUAUGAUGGUGGUACAGACACUGACACAUCCCAUAACGUGGCACAGGGAAGAAGACUGGGUUCGGGGCAGGAAGCCUUGCGAUAUCUUUCCCCAAGGACUACAGGCACCUUCCAGGGAUGGGAGGAGAUUCGGGUAGCGGCUCCUGACCCUACGAGCAAAGAGCGGCCGUGUCCGCGGUGCGGCGGGGUCCCGGCCGGCGGGUGCGGGGGCUCCGGCGUUUCGGUGGCCGCGGUCAGGCGGCGGCAGCCACUGCCUGUGUCGGGAUGCCAUCUAGUGUCCCUUGGCAGAAGGGCCGUCAGGCAGCGAGGCUUGCAGGCUCCCAGCACCGCCAGGAGUCAGCCGGAAAGCAUCCCAAAACAGCCUGAGUGCUGGGACCGCUACAUUGGGAUCGGCCUGGGUGCCGGGACCCCCAUCCCAGGGACAGCGCACCCUGCGGCCAGCACGGCUGCAGACCCCAAAGGAGGACAACUGGCACAGCCCAGG